CAGCUGUCAGUGCAUGAGUGGACUGAAUGCUAUGAAAUUGCAUACUUUUCUGUUGGAUGUUUCAUGGGAGAGACUUUGCUUAGAAGUUAGCUGAGUAAUCAUGUGAUCUUGGUAUGAGUGUUAAGCAUUCAGCAUGGCUUUGAGUCUGAACAAAAGAGCAAACAAGCCCUGGUGAGAUGAAGAAGGGAGCAGGAGCCUGGAGAUGCCUGAAGAUGUUGGUGAGAAUCACAACCUGGAGUGCAUGGGGGUGGUCUCCUCACCAACCCUUGGCACAGUGGGUUUCAUCUUCACCUUGAAGGAGAGCAGGCCAGACAAGAUCUCAGCACAGCUUCGCAACUGCGUCCACCCUCUCUUCUCUUCUAAGAGUUCACUUGGAAGGCUUGGCAAAACUCAGCUCUCAGGUCACUUCUGGCUUCCAACAUUCUAUAAAUGCUCUCAGAAAACAAAAGUCCAAGAGGAUUUCCUAUCCCCAGGACCUGGCCCAGGCUGAGAGAAGCUGUGUGGAGUGGAAGAUGGACAUUGAGGAAGAAGGGCAGGUGUGGUCUCACCCAGAAUGGUUCCUGCUGCUUCCGCGGUGCCCAGGCU
ensembl:lncRNA novel transcript